UACGUAGGGUGCGAGCGUUAAUCGGAAUUACUGGGCGUAAAGCGUGCGCAGGCGGUUUUAUAAGCCAGGUGUGAAAGCCCCGGGCUCAACCUGGGAAUGGCAUUUGGGACUGUAAGGCUGGAGUAUGGCAGAGGAGACUAGAAUUCCUGGUGUAGCAGUGAAAUGCGUAGAUAUCAGGAGGAAUACCGAUGGCGAAGGCAGGUCUCUGGGCCAAUACUGACGCUCAUGCACGAAAGCGUGGGGAGCAAACAGG
rnacentral:rRNA from 1 species